AUAGGUAAGCGCCUACAUCAUGACAUGCUUCGGUGGCCUGCAUAUUUUUAUCUAUUAUCAUCAUCAUCCUCUUCUUUGCCAUCAUUAUCUCUCCUCCAACUUUCUUGACUCUUAUCUUUUAUUUUCCUCUAUUCUUCUUCUUUCUCCAUCUUGUAAAAUUAUUCUUGAAAUAAUAAUGAUCUCGAUCUCCACUCCUGCCGUC
rnacentral:lncRNA from 1 species